UGCGUAGGCGGAAAAUUAAGUCAGUGGUGAAAUCCUGCGGCUCAACCGUAGAACUGCCAUUGAUACUGUUAUUCUUGAAUGUAGUUGAGGUAGGCGGAAUGUGUAAUGUAGCGGUGAAAUGCUUAGAUAUUACACAGAACACCGAUUGCGAAGGCAGCUUACUAAACUAUGAUUGACGCUGAUGCACGAAAGCGUGGGGAGCGAACAGGAUUAGAUACCCUGGUAGUCC
rnacentral:rRNA from 1 species